GAUGAACGCUGGCGGCGUGCCUAAUACAUGCAAGUCGAGCGAAUGGAUUGAGAGCUUGCUCUUAUGAAGUUAGCGGCGGACGGGUGAGUAACACGUGGGUAACCUGCCCAUAAGACUGGGAUAACUCCGGGAAACCGGGGCUAAUACCGGAUAACAUUUUGAACCGCAUGGUUCGAAAUUGAAAGGCGGCUUCGGCUGCCACUUAUGGAUGGACCCGCGUCGCAUUAGCUAGUUGGUGAGGUAACGGCUCACCAAGGCAACGAUGCGUAGCCGACCUGAGAGGGUGAUCGGCCACACUGGGACUGAGACACGGCCCAGACUCCUACGGGAGGCAGCAGUAGGGAAUCUUCCGCAAUGGACGAAAGUCUGACGGAGCAACGCCGCGUGAGUGUUGAAGGCUUUCGGGUCGUAAAACUCUGUUGUAAGGGAAGAACAAGUGCUAGUUGAAUAAGCUGGCACCUUGACGGUACCUAACCAGAAAGCCACGGCUAACUACGUGCCAGCAGCCGCAGUAA
rnacentral:rRNA from 1 species